UCGAGUUAUAAUCUCAUUUAUAAUUUGACUCAACACGGGAAACCUCACCAGGCCCGGACACCGGAAAGAUUGACAGAUUGAGAGCUCUUUCUUGAUUCGGUGGGUGGUGGUGCAUGGCCGUUCUUAGUUGGUGGAGCGAUCUGUCUGGUUAAUUCCGAUAACGAACGAGACUCUGUCCUGCUAACUAGGCGGGUAAACCCGGGUCGGCGUGUGCGCGGCGCUGGCGGUUUCGGCCGUCAGUGUUCGCGUACCCGUCGGCUCGGCCCGGUAUCCCCGAACGCGUUCGCCCGUCGUCCACGGCGGUCGUCGGGUGCGGCCGCGCCAUCCGCGUCCCGGCGUUCGGCGGGCGUAUGUGCGUCCGUCGUGCGUCGGGCUCCAUGGUGAAGCGCGCCGUGUUCGCGGCCGUCGCCGGCAGAUCAUGAUACGUUACUAGGGCUACCGCCGGCUCCCAGGAGCUUAAACUCUUCUUAGAGGGACAGGCGGCGGACGAACAUAGCCGCACGAGACUGAGCGAUAACAGGUCUGUGAUGCCCUUAGAUGUUCUGGGCCGCACGCGCGCUACACUGAAGGAAUCAGCGUGUUUAACAAUCCUGGGCCGACAGGCUUCCGGGUAACCCGCUGAACCUCCUUCGUGCUUAGGGAUCGUGGCUUGCAAUUUUUCCACGUGAACGAGGAAUUCCCAGUAAGCGCGAGUCAUCAGCUCGCGUUGAUUACGUCCC
rfam:Acyrthosiphon pisum strain LSR1 Contig12923, whole genome shotgun sequence.